rnacentral:rRNA from 1 species
GUAGUCUCGCACAGAUGCAUAUCAAUAAGCGGAGGAAAAGAAACUAACAAGGAUUCCCUUAGUAACGGCGAGUGAAGCGGGAAGAGCUCAAAUUUGAAAUCUUGAAAGGUCACCUUUCACGAAUUGUAGUUUAAAGAAGUGUUUUCUGUUACGAUCGUAAUAUAAGUUCUUUGGAAUAGGACAUCACAGAGGGUGAGAAUCCCGUCUAUGAUUGCGAUUUGUAGCUUUGUGUUACACUUUCAAAGAGUCGGGUUGUUUGGGAAUGCAGCCCAAAACGGGAGGUAAAUUUCUUCUAAGGCUAAAUAUUGGCGAGAGACCGAUAGCGAACAAGUACCGUGAGGGAAAGAUGAAAAGAACUUUGAAAAGAGAGUUAAAUAGUACGUGAAAUUGUCAAAAGGGAAGCGUUUAACACCAGUGUUGUUUUCUGAAAAUCAACCUCUGUUAGCUUUAUGCAUGUUUGUUUAGACCUAAUCAGCUAUCUUGCAUGUUCUAUUGUUUGCAGUGGUGCACUUUUCAGUUUACAGGUCAACAUCAGUUUUUUUUACCGUAAAAAAGUUAAAGAAAGGUAGCUCAUGGCUCCGGUCGUGAGUGUUAUAGUCUUUUUCCUAUGCGGUAGGAGAGACUGAGGUCUGCAGUGUAGGCUAUUUGGCUAGAUACUCAGGUGCUAUGUGAUACCAUUUCAUAAACAACUUGUUGAUUAUGUUUUGUCUAUUGCAUACUCGCUUGUACUAUCAUACCUACGCUUAGGAUGUUGAGUCGUAGAGCACGCAG